GAUGAACGCUGGCGGCGUGCUUAACACAUGCAAGUCGAACGAGAAAUGGAGACGGAAACCUUCGGGCGGAAGGCUUCAUUUCGAGUGGCGGACGGGUGAGUAACGCGUGGGUAACCUGCCUCAUACAGGGGGAUAACAGUUGGAAACGACUGUUAAUACCGCAUAAGACCACAGCACCGCAUGGUGCGGGGGUAAAAACUCCGGUGGUAUGAGAUGGACCCGCGUUCGAUUAGCCAGUUGGCGGGGUAACGGCCCACCAAAGCGACGAUCGAUAGCCGAUCUGAGAGGAUGACCGGCCACAUUGGGACUGAGACACGGCCCAAACUCCUACGGGAGGCAGCAGUGGGGAAUAUUGCACAAUGGGGGAAACCCUGAUGCAGCGACGCCGCGUGAGUGAAGAAGUACUUCGGUAUGUAAAGCUCUAUCGGCAGGGAAGAAAAUGACGGUACCUGAGUAAGAAGCCCCGGCUAACUACGUG
rnacentral:rRNA from 1 species